CACCUCUCAGGGUCACACCUGGAGAGUUUCCAGUACUCUACCAGUCUCGGCUACGGGAGGGAGAGUCAAGCAGAGGCCUAUCCAUUCCAUGCCUACCUUGGGCAGUGGCUAGCGAGUGGAAGAGAAUCUGCCUCAAGU